GACGAACGCUGGCGGCGUGCUUAACACAUGCAAGUCGAACGGAAAGGCCCUGCUUUUGUGGGGUGCUCGAGUGGCGAACGGGUGAGUAACACGUGAGUAACCUGCCCUUGACUUUGGGAUAACUUCAGGAAACUGGGGCUAAUACCGGAUAGGAGCUCCUGCUGCAUGGUGGGGGUUGGAAAGUUUCGGCGGUUGGGGAUGGACUCGCGGCUUAUCAGCUUGUUGGUGGGGUAGUGGCUUACCAAGGCUUUGACGGGUAGCCGGCCUGAGAGGGUGACCGGCCACAUUGGGACUGGGAUACGGCCCAGACUCCUACGGGAGGCAGCAGUGGGGAAUAUUGCACACUGGGCGGAAGCCUGAUGCAGCAACGCCGCGUGCGGGAUGACGGCCUUCGGGUUGUAAACCGCUUUCGCCUGUGACGAAGCGUGAGUGACGGUAAUUGGUAAGAAGCACCGGCUAACUACGUG
rnacentral:rRNA from 1 species